ACGAGCGCAACCCUUAAGCUUAGUUGCCAUCAUUAAGUUGGGCACUCUAAGUUGACUGCCGGUGACAAACCGGAGGAAGGUGGGGAUGACGUCAAAUCAUCAUGCCCCUUAUGAUUUGGGCUACACACGUGCUACAAUGGACAAUACAAAGGGCAGCGAAACCGCGAGGUCAAGCAAAUCCCAUAAAGUUGUUCUCAGUUCGGAUUGUAGUCUGCAACUCGACUACAUGAAGCUGGAAUCGCUAGUAAUCGUAGAUCAGCAUGCUACGGUGAAUACGUUCCCGGGUCUUGUACACACCGCCCGUCACACCACG
rnacentral:rRNA from 1 species